AGGACGGAUUAUAUGGAGGUACGGUUCUUCUUCGACACUCUAAGCUACCUGAACGUGGAAUACUUACCUGAGUACAGCAUCGAAAAAAUCAUAGCGACUCUUGGAGGCCAGAUGGGGAUAUUCCUGGGCGCAAGUUUACUGACACUAUCGGAGCUGGUGGAGUUUUUGUUGAUGGCUGGUCUUGUAGCGUGCAGG